AACGCUGGCGGUAUGCUUAACACAUGCAAGUCGAACGGAAACGAUGCUAGCUUGCUAGCAGGCGUCGAGUGGCGGACGGGUGAGUAAUGCAUGAGAAUUUGCCUAUUAAUGGGGGACAACAGUUGGAAACGACUGCUAAUACCGCAUACGCUCUACGGAGGAAAGCAGGGGAUCUUCGGACCUUGCGUUAAUAGAUGAGCUCAUGUCGGAUUAGCUUGUUGGUGAGGUAAGAGCUCACCAAGGCGACGAUCCGUAGCUGGUUUGAGAGGAUGAUCAGCCACAUCGGGACUGAGACACGGCCCGAACUCCUACGGGAGGCAGCAGUGGGGAAUAUUGGACAAUGGGCGCAAGCCUGAUCCAGCAAUACCGCGUGUGUGAAGAAGGCCUUAGGGUUGUAAAGCACUUUCGUUGGUGAGGAAACGGUAGAGAUUAAUACUCUCUGCAAUUGACGUUAACCAAAUAAGAAGCACCGGCUAACUCCGUGCCAGCAGCCGCGGUAAUACGGAGGGUGCAAGCGUUAAUCGGAAUUACUGGGCGUAAAGCGCGCGUAGGCGGUUUGACGAGUCAGAUGUGAAAGCCCCGGGCUCAACCUGGGAACUGCAUUUGAAACUGUUGAACUUGAGUAUGGUAGAGGUAAGCGGAAUUUCCAGUGUAGCAGUGAAAUGCGUAGAGAUUGGAAGGAAUAUCGAUGGCGAAGGCAGCUUACUGGGCCAAUACUGACGCUGAGGUGCGAAGGCGUGGGUAGCGAACGGGAUUAGAUACCCCGGUAGUCCACGCCGUAAACGAUGUCAACUAGGUGUGAGGCCCUUGAGGUUUCGUGCCGCAGCUAACGCAUUAAGUUGACCGCCUGGGGAGUACGCACGCAAGUGUAAAACUCAAAGGAAUUGACGGGGACCCCACAAGCGGUGGAGCAUGUGGUUUAAUUCGAUGCAACGCGAAGAACCUUACCUGGGCUUGACAUCUAGCGAAGUUUUUAAAGAUAGAAACGUGCCUUCGGGAAGCUAAGACAGGUGUUGCAUGGCUGUCGUCAGCUCCUGUCUGGGAAUGUUGGGGUUAAUUCCCCCACCAACGCAACCCUUAUCCUUAUUUGCCAGCGGGUUAUGCCGGGAACUUUAGGGAGACUGCCGGUGACAAACCGGAGGAAGGUGGGGACGACGUCAAGUCAUCAUGGCCCUUACGGCCAGGGCUACACACGUGCUACAAUGGGUGAUACAAACGGUUGCCAACCCGCGAGGGGGAGCUAAUCUGAGAAAGUCACUCGUAGUCCGGAUUGCAGUCUGCAACUCGACUGCAUGAAGUCGGAAUCGCUAGUAAUCGUAGAUCAGCAUGCUACGGUGAAUACGUUCCCGGGUCUUGUACACACUGCCCGUCACACCAUGGGAGUUGGUUGCAAAAGAAGUGGCUAGUUUAACUUUUUAAGAAAACGGUCACCACUUUGUGGUCAAUGACU
rnacentral:rRNA from 1 species